GCUCAGCUCCCGGGUGGGCCUUCAGCCUGGGCUCAGCUGGACUUUUCCAAGGGCGCACUUUCCUUCCAUCCGCUCGGGUCUGGGGGAUGUGGAACCCUCCCCCCAAUCGGGUUCUGGAGGGGCCCAAGGUAGAAGGCUCCGGCCGGGAGGGAGGGAAGGAGGAGGUUCCGAGCCCCUCUGUGACGUGGCCGGCAUUCCUUACGACCCGACAGCGCCAGUUCCCGAGGAUGUUAGGCCGGGACGGGCAGGAGGCCCAGCUACGCAGCCCUAGGACCUCCCCCCCCCCCAGUCUGGGCCUGUGGUCUCGCUGGCUGGGAUGUCCUGGUGCGGACGCUCCAUCCACCACAGCAGACCAAUACCCACCCCCUAAGUGCGAAGUGCUGGAGAACUCUCUGCACCCCCACCUCUAAGACCCCAGGAAUCAUAAGCCAAGGCCAGCGAGCUGGUCCCACGUCCGGAGACAGCGCUGUGAUGAUCAUCGAUCACUUUGUCCCCCAAUAUCUGGUGAAACUACCAGCCUCAGGCCGAGAGCCCCAACUAAGAGAAACCUCAUUUGGUUCCAUCUGCCCACGAACCAAGAGCUGCGUCCUCGAGGCCGGCGGUCAGACCGGCUCCCGCUCACCCAGCACCCGGCGGCCAGAGGCCGCAUUCUCUUCGGCUGCUGUCGCUCAGUGGGCGGCGGGGGGACACCACAGGCCACCAACGGCAGCAGACUGACCAGACAACAAGCCCGGAGCACCCCGCGCUUCCUUCCGGUUUUCCUUCCUUUCACCCAACAUCCCCAGAUGGUUUGUCUGGGUCUCAGCAAGCUGACCGGAACAUCUCCCAGCAUCCCCUCGUAGACCAGUAAAAAAGGGGGUGGCUCAGCUGGCCGGCUCCAAGCCUGCGCUCACCACCUGGACCACGUGAGGGGGAGGGGACAAGAAGGGACGGUCCCAGCUGAAGGCAGAGUGGCCUGAGGGCCCAGCCGGAAGCCGCACAAGCCGAUUUCUGUUCCUGCUCCAACGGAGGGACGGAUCAUUGACCAGCACUUAGAAAGCCCGGACUAAAUCGAAGCAAAGGCCCAGAGAACACAAAUUAGGAGGUCCGGCGUCCUUGCCUAGGAGGGGCUUAUAUUCAAACAUCCAAGCCCAAGGGAGGGGGAUGAGCUCCCCAUCACGGGAGGUGUUCAUGGAAAAGCCGUCCAUGGAGGCUGGGGCGGGACGGGACAGACUCCCGCGGACGGGGCCCCCGAAGGCCUUUCUAUUCGCCAGGCGAGGGUGCGGAAGGCGCGUCCCAAGUUUCCUUUCAAACCAGAACAGACGGAGAACGCGGCCUUGCCCGCCACGUCCGACGCCGAGGGACCGGCUCCCGGGGCCGUCCCCUCCAUCCCUGACCGCCAAGGGAGCUGCAGGACGAGCCUGUCCCCGGGAAAGGCCUGGGAAGGAGCAUCCACAUGUGAGUUUAAUCUUGGGGGAGGGGCAGAGGCAGCCCGUGGCCACCACACUAAAGAGCUCGCAACGUAAAUUGAAAAAAUGAUAUCCAUAUGAUGAAGCGCGCCGCUUAAGGAGAAACACGUUGGGAAGCCGGCCAUUGAGGAGAAAAUGAAACGCACCCAAAUGGGGCUCCCUCCGCACAUGCUUUCGAUGCACAAUUGCUGCCUUCAGAGCACGGCGGCCACCUGGAAGCCAUUAGCAUUAUGUCGCCAAUAAUGCAGAAUUAAAACAUUUAGCUCUGCCUUCUAAAAUUAAGUGGGCGCAAAAGGAAAGGCCUCGCAGGGAGCCCACGGUCAGCCUGGGGAGCGCGGCCCGCCGGGGGUCCUGGG